CCUGGUGGCUCAGAUGGUAAAGCGUCUGCCUGCAAUGCAGGAGACCCGGGUUCGAUCCCAGGGUCAGGA
rnacentral:tRNA from 1 species